rnacentral:rRNA from 1 species
GAUGAACGCUGGCGGCGUGCCUAAUACAUGCAAGUCGAGCGAACAGAUAAGGAGCUUGCUCCUUUGACGUUAGCGGCGGACGGGUGAGUAACACGUGGGUAACCUACCUAUAAGACUGGGAUAACUUCGGGAAACCGGAGCUAAUACCGGAUAACAUUUGGAACCGCAUGGUUCUAAAGUGAAAGAUGGUUUUGCUAUCACUUAUAGAUGGACCCGCGCCGUAUUAGCUAGUUGGUAAGGUAACGGCUUACCAAGGCAACGAUACGUAGCCGACCUGAGAGGGUGAUCGGCCACACUGGAACUGAGACACGGUCCAGACUCCUACGGGAGGCAGCAGUAGGGAAUCUUCCGCAAUGGGCGAAAGCCUGACGGAGCAACGCCGGGUGAGUGAUGAAGGGCUUCGGCUCGUAAAACUCUGUUAUUAGGGAAGAACAAACGUGUAAGUAACUGUGCACGUCUUGACGGUACCUAAUCAGAAAGCCACGGCUAACUACGUG